rnacentral:rRNA from 1 species
UACGUAGGGGGCAAGCGUUGUCCGGAUUUAUUGGGCGUAAAGGGCGCGUAGGCGGCCAUUCAAGUGACGGGUGAAAGCCCUCGGCUUAACCGAGGAACUGCCUGUCAGACUGGAUGGCUUGAGACCGGGAGAGGUGAGUGGAAUUCCCAGUGUAGCGGUGAAAUGCGUAGAUAUUGGGAGGAACACCAGUGGCGAAGGCGGCUCACUGGACCGGAACUGACGCUGAGGCGCGAAAGCGUGGGGAGCGAACAGG